CCUACGGGAUGCCGCAGUGAGGAAUAUUGGUCAAUGGACGCAAGUCUGAACCAGCCAUGCCGCGUGCAGGAAGACGGCUCUAUGAGUUGUAAACUUCUUUUGUACGGGGGUAAACGCAGCUACGCGUAUCUGUCUGCAAGUAUCCUACGAAUAAGGAUCGGCUAACUCCGUGCCAGCAGCCGCGGUAAUACGGAGGAUGCGCGCGUUAUCCGGAUUUAUUGGGUUUAAAGGGUUCGUAGGCUGAGUGUUAAGUCAGUGGUAAAAUUGUGGGGCUCAACCCCUUCACGCCAUUGAAACUGGCGGUCUUGAGUGGAAUAGAAGUAUGCGGAAUGCGUGGUGUAGCGGUGAAAUGCAUAGAGAUCACGCAGAACCCCGAUUGCGAAGGCAGCAUGCCGGCUUACGACUGACGCUGAAGCACGAAAGCGUGGGGAUCGAACAGGAUUAGAUACCCGUGUAGUC
rnacentral:rRNA from 1 species